UGGUGGAGUGAUUUGUCUGGUUAAUUCCGUUAACGAACGAGACCCCUGCCUGCUAAAUAGCCCGAUGAGUGAAUUUCACUGAUUGGGGCUUCUUAGAGGGACGUGCAUUCUUUUAGAUGCAGGAAGAUAGGGGCAAUAACA
rnacentral:rRNA from 1 species